GGCAGACAGGUCACUUGUACUUGUGAAACAUUCUUUGAGAUUUAUUUGAUUCAAGGGACUGAUAUAAUUUGACUGCAACUUCAAAGCAAGCACUAUCUGACAUAAAAUUGAGGAAUGGAUAAUGCAAAAAAGAAAAAAGAGAUAAAACCAAAACAAAAAGCAAAGUUAGCUUCAGCAUAUACAGAACAAGUAUGAUUGCCUAGCACCUUAAGGUAUUCUUACAUGUGAACAUGUCUCCUCCAGUAGAAAAUAAUCUUCUUGAAUGAUCCAGAAGACUUCAGAGUCCAGAGCCUCGCCAUACUGGGGCCAGACACAAUGUGGACAACCGACUGGUUUUAGCCCAACUCUAACCCAGAAGUCCUGAGCUCUCAGCUACCCCAGCUGCAGGGAU